AUCCGUACCGCAAACCGACACAGGUAUUCAAGUCGAGUAGACUAAGGCGAACGAGUGAUUUCUCCCUAAGGAACUAGGCAAAAAAGCGAUCGUAAGUUAGCGAUAAGAUCUGCCUCCACCACUUUGUGUUUAAAAGUGGUGGUCCUAGAGAAUUAGAAAGACGAGACAAACGUCACUAUCAUAGAGCUAUGAUAGUGACACAAAACUGUGAAUUAAGUGUGAUGGAAAUGAUUCUCUACGACUCACUCACUUUUGAAAAUAAAGUGGUGGAGGCCGCAGCGAAAGUUUCCCUAGCGACUGUUUAUCAAAAACACAGCUUCCUGCGAACACGUAAGUGGAUGUAUAGGAGGUGACGCCUGACCAAUGCGGGAAGGUCAAAUAUCGAUAGUUCUUCGGAGCCAGGUGAUAUAAGCCCCCGUCAAUGUCGGCCGUAACUAUAACGGUCCUAAGGUACUGACCAUAGCUAAUAUGGUCAGUAGGACUAGGACGGUUAUAGCCAUGUUUUUGUUAACAAUCUAAUCAUACGCCUACUAAAAGCUACCUCAUGUACAGAAAUGCACAUAGAGUCCGAAGUGGUUAGCGAGAGACCAACGCCACACAUCUGACCAUUUAGUUGAAGAUGAAGAUAGAGUCCAACUGUGAGGAAUAGUUGAGCGAAAUUCCUUGUCUGGUAAGUUCAGACGUGCACGAAUGGCGUAACGACUGGGGAACUGUCUCAGGGAGUAGCUCGGUGAAAAUACAGUGGGGGUGAAGAUGCCCCCUAGCUGCAGAUAGACGAAAAGACCCCGUGAGCUUUACUCCAACUUGGUAUUGCAAUUGUUCAAUUACUGCGUAGUGUAGUGGUGAGAGGUUUGAUGUUCAUGAUUUCGGUUGUGAUCUACUCGUCGAUGAAACAGCCAUCUUUAAUUGGGCAAUUGCUAACGUACGCGGAAAAAACGCGUGCAGACAGUAUCUGGUGGGGAGUUUAACUGGGGCGGUUUCCUCCUAAAAAGUAACGGAGGAGUACAUUAAGGUCAUCUAGGCGCGAAUGGAAACCGUGCCGAUAGCGCAAGGGCAUAUGAUGGCUUGACUGUAAGACGGGCAUGUCGAGCAGACGCGAAAGCGGGUCCUAGUGAACCUACUCUUGGCUUUAGACGCCGGAGCAGAUCAACGGAUAGAAGCUACCACGGGGAUAACAGGCUAGUUGUGCCCAAGAGUUCAUAUCGACGGCACAGUUCGGCACCUCGAUGUCGGCUCAUCUUAUCCUGGUGGUGGAGAAGCUACCAAGGGUUUGGCUGUUCGCCAAUUAAAAAGAUACGUGAGCUGGGUUCAAACCGUGGAGGAGUGAAUUAUACAGAACGAUUAAUAACGUUAUUUUCUCGAAUAACACCAGUUAUUAGUCAAUUCAGUUUUGUAUAAUUGACUUCUCCUAGUUUGAACCCGAGGAGUUAAGACUAAACUUAACAAAAAGACAUUGAUCACGGCGGUCAUAUAUAGCGAUAUAUAUGGACAAGCUAACUAAUAUCGGGGAAAUCCGUACCAAUGGUGCGGACAAUUCCGAGGGAAUCACAUGCAAGUAGCAGGUGAGCCCGUAGAGACUACACGUUAGCACUCUAGAUGUAUUUGGUAUUUAACUAAUAAAUAAUUACCAAUAACUAAAGACUAGAAUAAGCUAUAGUCCGAUCCCUCUAGUAAUAGAGGUUCAUACAGGUUGGAAACCAAGGUAUGAUAUAAAACAUGAAUGCGUGAGACAGGUUGGUUUCCUAUCUUCUGCAGCCGUUCGAAUAUUGAGAAGAUUUGCUCCUAGUACGAGAGGACCGGAGUGAACUGACCUCUGGUGUACCUGCUCUAGCGCCAGCUGGACCGCAGGGUAGCUAUGUCGGGAAUGGAUAAGUUCUGAAAGCAUCUAAGAACGAAGCCAACUUCAAGAUGAGUAUUCGUUGAAGGGUCGUGAGAGAUGAUCACGUUGAUAGGAGCUAGAUGUACGCACAGUAAUGUGUUUAGUCGAGGCUUACUAAUUACCCGAAAUUCCUAUUAGG
rnacentral:rRNA from 1 species